CACGUAGGGGGCUAGCGUUGUCCGGAAUCAUUGGGCGUAAAGCGCGUGUAGGCGGUCCGGUAAGUCCGCUGUGAAAGUCGGGGGCUCAACCCUCGAAUGCCGGUGGAUACUGUCGGGCUAGAGUGCGGAAGAGGCGAGUGGAAUUCCUGGUGUAGCGGUGAAAUGCGUAGAUAUCAGGAGGAACACCGGUGGUGUAGACGGCUUUCUGGACCGUAACUGACGCUGAGACACGAAAGCGUGGGUAGCAAACAGG
rnacentral:rRNA from 1 species